rnacentral:rRNA from 1 species
UACGAAGGGGGCUAGCGUUGCUCGGAAUCACUGGGCGUAAAGGGUGCGUAGGCGGGUCUUUAAGUCAGGGGUGAAAUCCUGGAGCUCAACUCCAGAACUGCCUUUGAUACUGGUGAGCUUGAGUCCGGAAGAGGUGAGUGGAACUGCGAGUGUAGAGGUGAAAUUCGUAGAUAUUCGCAAGAACACCCGUGGCGAAGGCGGUUCUCUGGGACGGUACUGACGCUGAGACGCGAAAGCGUGGGGAGCGAACAGG